rnacentral:rRNA from 1 species
AGCGAACGCUGGCGGCAGGCUUAACACAUGCAAGUCGAAGGGAGUUGCAGACGGGUGAGUAACACGUGGGAACGUGCCCUUCGGUUCGGAAUGACUCAGGGACACUUGAGCUAAUACCAGAUACCGAAGGAUCGGCCAGCGUCUGAUUAGCUGGUUGGUGGGGUAACGGCCUACCAAGGCGAAGAUCAGUAGCUGGUCUGAGAGGAGGAGCAGACACACUGGGAGGUAGACACGGCCCAGACUCCUCCGGAAGGGAGCAGUGGGGAAUAUUGGAAAAUGGGGGCAAGCCUGAUCCAGCCAUGCCGGGUGAGUGAUGAAGGCAGUAGGGUUGUAAAGCUCUUUUGUCCGGGACGCGGUACCGGAAGAAUAAGCCCCGGCUAACUUCGUGCCAGCAGCCGCGGUAAUUC